rnacentral:rRNA from 1 species
UUAGGUAUAAGUAACGAUUAUGCGGGCGAGAAACCCGCACGCCAAUAGACUAAGGUUUCCUGAUCAACGCUAAUCGGAUCAGGGUCAGUCGGGUCCUAAGGAAAAGCCGAAAGGCGUAUUCGAUGGACAACAGGUUAAUAUUCCUGUACUAGCAAUAAUUGCGAUGGAGUGACGGAGUAGUGAAAGGUCUGCGCACGGACGGAUGUGUGCGUUGAAAGGUGUAGAUAUACCUGGGGCAGUUAAAUGCGUUCCGGGUGUCGAACCCAAUAGUACCACGGAGGUUCGCCAAAGUGGAUAUGACCCUAAUCAAACUCCCAAGAAAAACUUCUAAGCUUCAGAUUAUUGCUACCCGUACCGCAAACCGACACAGGUAGUCAAGUAGAAUAUACUAAGGCGCUCGAGUGAAUCAUGGCUAAGGAACUCGGCAAAUUAACCCUGUAACUUCGGGAAAAAGGGUGCCCAUAGCAAUAUGGGCCGCAGUGAAAUAGCGGUGGCGACUGUUUAUCAAAAACACAUGGCUUUGCAAAAUCGAAAGAUGAAGUAUAAGGCCUGACACCUGCCCAAUGCUGGAAGGUUAAGAGGAGAGGUUAGUAGUAAUACAAAGCUUUGAAUCGAAGCCCCAGUGAAUGGCGGCCGUAACGAUAACGGUCCUAAGGUAGCGAAAUUCCUUGUCGGGUAAGUUCCGACCUGCACGAAUGGUGUAACGAUCUCCGCUCUGUCUCAGCCAUGAGCUCGGUGAAAUUGUAGUAUCGGUGAAGAUGCCGAUUACCCGCAACGGGACGGAAAGACCCCGUGCACCUUUACUAUAGCUUAACAUUGACUUUGGAUAACUAAUGUGUAGGAUAGGUGGGAGACUUUGAAGCAGUGGCGCCAGCCAUUGUGGAGUCGUCCUUGAAAUACCACCCUUUGGUUAUUUGAAUUCUAAUCCCUCAAAAGGGGAGACAUUGUUUGGUGGGUAGUUUGACUGGGGUGGUCGCCUCCAAAAUUGUAUCGGAGGCUUUCAAAGGUACCCUCAGCACGCUUGGUAACCGUGCGUAGAGUGCAAUAGCAUAAGGGUGCUUGACUGCGAGACCUACAAGUCGAGCAGGGUCGAAAGACGGAUAUAGUGAUCCGGUGGUUCCGUGUGGAAGGGCCAUCGCUCAAAGGAUAAAAGGUACGCCGGGAUAACAGGCUGAUCACCCCCAAGAGCUCAUAUCGACGGGGUGGUUUGGCACCUCGAUGUCGGCUCGUCACAUCCUGGGGCUGGAGAAGGUCCCAAGGGUUGAGCUGUUCGCUCAUUAAAGUGGCACGCGAGCUGGGUUCAGAACGUCGUGAGACAGUUCGGUCCCUAUCUGUUGUGGGCGUUAGAAAUUUGAGAGGACCUGACUCUAGUACGAGAGGACCGAGUUGGACAGACCUCUAGUGUACCUGUUGUGGCGCCAGCUGCAUUGCAGGGUAGCUACGUCUGGUCGAGAUAAGCGCUGAAAGCAUCUAAGCGCGAAACUCGCCUCAAGAUAAGAUUUCUUUUAAGGGUCGUAAUAGACUAUUACGUUGAUAGGUUGCAAGUGUAAAGGCAGUAAUGUCAAAGCUGAGCAAUACUAAUUGCUCAA